rnacentral:rRNA from 1 species
AAAAUCCGCACGGCAUAUGAGGGUGAGACGUGAUGCCGAGCCGUAUCAGGUGAAGUGGAUGAUCCUAUGCUGCCGAGAAAAGCCUCUAGCGAUGUUGUGCGCGGCCCGUACCCUAAACCGACACAGGUGGUCAGGUAGAGAAUACCAAGGCGAUCGGGUGAACUGUGGUUAAGGAACUCGGCAAAUUGCCCCCGUAACUUAGGGAGAAGGGGGGCCACUGCUGGUGAACGGACUUGCUUCGGGAGCUGGUGGUGGUCGCAGAGAGCAGGGGGAAGCGACUGUUUACUAAAAACACAGGUCCAUGCCAAGUCGUAAGACGCUGUAUAUGGACUGACGCCUGCCCGGUGCUGGAACGUUAAAAGGACCUGUUAGCCUCUAGGGGCGAAGCGGAGAAUUGAAGCGCCAGUAAACGGCGGUGGUAACUAUAACCAUCCUAAGGUAGCGAAAUUCCUUGUCGGGUAAGUUCCGACCUGCACGAAUGGCGUAACGACUUCCCCACUGUCUCAACCACAGGCCCGGCGAAAUUGCAGUACGAGUAAAGAUGCUCGUUACGCGCGGCAGGACGGAAAGACCCCGGGACCUUCACUAUAGCUUGACAUUGGCAUUUGAAUUUAAUUGUGUAGGAUAGGUGGGAGCCUGUGAAGUGUGGACGCCAGUCCACGUGGAGGCAAUCUUGAAAUACCACUCUGUUGAAUUUGGGUGCCUAACCACGGACCCUGAUCGGGUUCUGGGACCGUGUCUGGUGGGUAGUUUAACUGGGGCGGUUGCCUCCUAAAAGGUAACGGAGGCGCCCAAAGGUUCCCUCAGCCUGGUUGGCAAUCAGGUGUUGAGUGUAAGUGCACAAGGGAGCUUGACUGUGAGACUGACAGGUCGAGCAGGGACGAAAGUCGGGACUAGUGAUCCGGCACCGGCAUGUGGAAGCGGUGUCGCUCAACGGAUAAAAGGUACCCCGGGGAUAACAGGCUGAUCUUCCCCAAGAGUCCAUAUCGACGGGAUGGUUUGGCACCUCGAUGUCGGCUCGUCGCAUCCUGGGGCUGGAGUAGGUCCCAAGGGUUGGGCUGUUCGCCCAUUAAAGCGGUACGCGAGCUGGGUUUAGAACGUCGUGAGACAGUUCGGUCCCCAUCCGCCGCGCGCGUAGGAAACUUGAGAAGGGCUGUCCCUAGUACGAGAGGACCGGGACGGACGAACCUCUAGUGUGCCAGUUAUCCCGCCAGGGGUACGGCUGGUUAGCCACGUUCGGAAGGGAUAACCGCUGAAAGCAUCUAAGCGGGAAGCCUGCUUCAAGACCACGUUUCCCACCCGUACAGCAAUGUGCGGGGUAAGGCCCCCGGCCAGACCACCGGGUAGACAGGCCAGAUGUGUAAGCCCAGCAAUGGGUUCAGCUGACUGGUACUGAUAGGCCGAGGACUUCACA